rnacentral:rRNA from 1 species
UACGGAGGAUCCGAGCGUUAUCCGGAUUUAUUGGGUUUAAAGGGUGCGCAGGCGGGAGAUUAAGUCGGCGGUGAAAUUUUGCAGCUCAACUGUAAAAGUGCCUUCGAAACUGGUUUCCUUGAGUGUAGAUGAAGUAGGCGGAAUUUGUGGUGUAGCGGUGAAAUGCAUAGAUAUCACGAGGAACUCCGAUUGCGCAGGCAGCUUACUAAACUACUACUGACGCUCAGGCACGAAGGCGUGGGGAUCAAACAGGAUUAGAUACCCGUGUAGU